ensembl:snRNA U6 U6 spliceosomal RNA
GUGCUUGCUUCAGGAACAUAUAUAUAAAAACGGAACAAUACGAUUGAUUAGCAUGGCCCAUGCACAAGGAUAAUAUUCAAAUUUGUGAAGCAUUCCAUAUUUGU